rnacentral:sRNA from 1 species
UUUUUUAUCCCACAAUGACAAAGCUGAUUAGCUAACAGCUGCAGAAAUACUAACAAU